GAGUUUGAUCCUGGCUCAGGACGAACGUUGGCGGCGUGCUUAAUACAUGCAAGUCAACUGAAGCAUUGGUAGCAAUACUGAUGUGGAGGUGGCGCACGGGUGAGUAACACGUAGGUAAUCUGCCUUCAGGUCUGACAUAACUCCGGGAAACCGAAGCUAAUAUCAGAUGAUGCAGCGGCUUGACAUCAAGACAGUUGUUAAAGCUUAGGCGCCUGAAGAUGAGCCUGCGUCUGAUUAGCUAGUUGGCGGGGUAACGGCCACCAAGGCAACGAUCAGUAGCUGGUCUGAGAGGAUGAUCAGCCACAUUGGAACUGAGACACGGUCCAGACUCCUACGGGAGGCAGCAGUAAGGAAUAUUGCUCAAUGGCCGAAAGGCUGAAGCAGCAACGCCGCGUGAGGGAUGAAGGGCUUUUGCUUGUAAACCUCUGUAGUGAGAGAAAAAAACUCCAAAUC
rnacentral:rRNA from 1 species